UACGGAGGUGGCAAGCGUUGCUCGGAAUCACUGGGCGUAAAGGGCGCGUAGGCGGGGAGGUAAGUCGGGUGUAAAUCCCUCGGCCCAACCUGAGGAACUGCGCCCGAGACUGCUUCUCUUGAGUCCCGGAGAGGAAGAUGGAAUUCCCGGUGUAGCGGUGAAAUGUGUAGAGAUCGGGAGGAACACCGGUGGCGAAGGCGGUCUUCUGGACGGUGACUGACGCUGAGGCGCGAAAGCGUGGGGAGCAAACGGG
rnacentral:rRNA from 1 species